CCUACGGGAGGCAGCAGUGGGGAAUAUUGCACAAUGGGGGAAACCCUGAUGCAGCGACGCCGCGUGAAGGAAGAAGUAUUUCGGUAUGUAAACUUCUAUCAGCAGGGAAGAAAAUGACGGUACCUGACUAAGAAGCCCCGGCUAACUACGUGCCAGCAGCCGCGGUAAUACGUAGGGGGCAAGCGUUAUCCGGAUUUACUGGGUGUAAAGGGAGCGUAGGCGGUUGAGCAAGUCAGAAGUGAAAGCCCGGGGCUCAACUCCGGGACUGCUUUUGAAACUGUUGAACUAGAGUGCAGGAGAGGUAAGUGGAAUUCCUAGUGUAGCGGUGAAAUGCGUAGAUAUUAGGAGGAACACCAGUGGCGAAGGCGGCUUACUGGACUGUAAAUGACGCUGAGGCUCGAAAGCGUGGGGAGCAAACAGGAUUAGAUACCCUUGUAGUC
rnacentral:rRNA from 1 species